rnacentral:snRNA from 1 species
AUACUUUACCUGGACGAGGUCGAUGAGUGAUCAAGAAAGCUCAUGGCCUAGGUUAACGGCGUCCAUUGCACAUGGGAGGAGUGUUAGCCUACCAUCUCCUCACAAGUGGGAGAGUGGACGUCAUAAUUUCUAGCAAAAGUUUUACAAGUUUCCACUUGGUUUUA